rnacentral:misc_RNA from 1 species
AAAAGACAUAUUAGUUACAAAUUUUUAUUUCUGAAAUAAUGUCGGAUAAUAAUGUAAAUAUUAUCCAGGAAAUAAAUAAAUUAAAUUUGGAGUUAAAAAGGAAAUUGGAAGUAGUCUCAAAAUGGAGAGUCGAAUGUGCUCAAUUGCAACUAGAAUUUCUAAAGUUGUACACUCCAGAAUGUCUUGAAAUUUUCGAAUCGCUUAAACAAAUGACUGACAUGAGUAUCGAUUCGAAUACUAAGUUUAAUAAUCCUUAAUUAUUAAAAAAUACUUUCUUAUUAAUGUACUAUCACGAUUUUCAAUAAACGAUAUGAGACAAUUAUUUUGAAAUAUAUUUAUUACAUUCGAAUAUAGGACUUAUACAUAGAAUGUAUUUCUGAUUUUGAUAACAUAAAGACAGACAUAGAUAUACAUACGUUGAUCUUUUAUCUGACGAAAUAUAAAUUUACACUAGAAUAGAAUCAUGGUGUACCUUUUUAAACUUCAUUAAAUAUCUUUUAAUAUCGAUAUAUUUCGGUAGAUUUAUGUUGUAUGUUGAUAUUCCACAAUGGAAGAAAAUAGAUAAAUAAGAUACUUUACCGCGUUAUUAUGUAGCAUCAUUUGGAAGUAUUCAAGUAAAUUUAAUCUGAACAAAGUAAGAAAAAUGAACUUUUUAUUACGUGAUUGCGAGGAAAUUUCUGAAAAUCAUCUAGUGUAAAAAAAUUAAACAUCAUCGUAUGUUAUGCUCUCUGAUGUUCAACGACUGUUUUAAUGUAUUUUAUUAUACAACUGAUUAUUUCUUUUGCGAGGCGUUCGUCCAAACUUUUUACUUUUUUUAAAGUUAAAAUGGCUUUAUAUUAUUAGCAAGAUAAGAAAUUUUGAAAUUCGUCCAUUCUUGGGAAAUAAUGACAAAAAUUUUCUUUGAUAAUUAUUGUCCCUCAUAGCUUGUCGUUACAUUUAUUACUAGAAAAAAAGCACCUCGCAAAUAGUUUAAAAGUCAGUCGUUCUUUUUCCAGUUUAUUAUAUUAAACGAUAUCCGCAUGUAAUGGAAUCAAUCUAUUGUACACAAUCAUGUACGCAAAACUCGAAGCCACUUCAAUCAUCUUCAUCGACGUGUUCUCGAAUCGACUUUAAAAGUUAUUCGAUCCUUUGAUUCUUUGUCUCUUUCGUCUUAAAUGAAUCCAUCCGCUCAAUAAAAGUAACAUGACUCUUAUCGCAUUCUUGGAUGAUAUAUUGUUUCGAACAACUUAACCUCUAUUCCUUGACCUCAACGUUUU